AAGAGUUUGAUCCUGGCUCAGGACGAACGCUGGCGGCGUGCCUAACACAUGCAAGUCGAGCGGAGAUGCCAAGGAGCAAUCUGAGGUGUCUUAGCGGCGGACGGGUGAGUAACACGUGGGUAACCUACCCCAAGGAGGGGGAUAACAGGUCGAAAGGCCUGCUAAUACCGCAUAAAGCUUGUGUAUCGCAUGAUACAUAAGCCAAAGGAGGAAUCCGCCUUGGGAUGGGCCCGCGGCCCAUUAGCUAGUUGGUGAGGUAACGGCUCACCAAGGCGACGAUGGGUAGCCGGCCUGAGAGGGUGGUCGGCCACACUGGGACUGAGACACGGCCCAGACUCCUACGGGAGGCAGCAGUGGGGAAUAUUGCGCAAUGGGGGAAACCCUGACGCAGCGACGCCGCGUGAGCGAAGAAGGCCUUCGGGUUGUAAAGCUCUGUCUUCCCUGACGAAGAAAGUGACGGUAAGGGAGGAGGAAGCCACGGCUAACUACGUGCCAGCAGCCGCGGUAAUACGUAGGUGGCGAGCGUUGUCCGGAAUUACUGGGCGUAAAGGGUGCGUAGGCGGCUCCUUAAGUGAGGUGUGAAAUCCCUGGGCUCAACCCAGGAACUGCACUUCAAACUGGGGAGCUAGAGUGCAGGAGAGGAAAGCGGAAUUCCCGGUGUAGCGGUGAAAUGCGUAG
rnacentral:rRNA from 1 species